rnacentral:rRNA from 1 species
AGUCGAGCGAACAGACGAGGAGCUUGCUCCUCUGACGUUAGCGGCGGACGGGUGAGUAACACGUGGAUAACCUACCUAUAAGACUGGGAUAACUUCGGGAAACCGGAGCUAAUACCGGAUAACAUGUUGAACCGCAUGGUUCAACAGUGAAAGACGGUCUUGCUGUCACUUAUAGAUGGAUCCGCGCCGCAUUAGCUAGUUGGUAAGGUAACGGCUUACCAAGGCAACGAUGCGUAGCCGACCUGAGAGGGUGAUCGGCCACACUGGAACUGAGACACGGUCCAGACUCCUACGGGAGGCAGCAGUAGGGAAUCUUCCGCAAUGGGCGAAAGCCUGACGGAGCAACGCCGCGUGAGUGAAGAAGGUCUUCGGAUCGUAAAACUCCGUUAUUAGGGAAGAACAAAUGUGUAAGUAACUAUGCACGUCUUGACGGUACCUAAUCAGAAAGCCACGGCUAACUACGUGCCAGCAGCCGCGGUAAUACGUAGGUGGCAAGCGUUAUCCGGAAUUAUUGGGCGUAAAGCGCGCGUAGGCGGUUUUUUAAGUCUGAUGUGAAAGCCCACGGCUCAACCGUGGAGGGUCAUUGGAAACUGGAAAACUUGAGUGCAGAAGAGGAAAGUGGAAUUCCAUGUGUAGCGGUGAAAUGCGCAGAGAUAUGGAGGAACACCAGUGGCGAAGGCGACUUUCUGGUCUGU